rnacentral:rRNA from 1 species
AAACUAACAAGGAUUCCCCUAGUAGCGGCGAGCGAAGCGGGAAGAGCUCAAAUUUAUAAUCUGGCACCUUCGGUGUCCGAGUUGUAAUCUCUAGAAAUGUUUUCCGCGUUGGACCGCACACAAGUCUGUUGGAAUACAGCGGCAUAGUGGUGAGACCCCCGUAUAUGGUGCGGACGCCCAGCGCUUUGUGAUACAUUUUCGAAGAGUCGAGUUGUUUGGGAAUGCAGCUCAAAUUGGGUGGUAAAUUCCAUCUAAAGCUAAAUAUUGGCGAGAGACCGAUAGCGAACAAGUACCGUGAGGGAAAGAUGAAAAGCACUUUGGAAAGAGAGUUAACAGUACGUGAAAUUGUUGGAAGGGAAACGCUUGAAGUCAGACUUGCUUGCCGAGCAAUCGGUUUGCAGGCCAGCAUCAGUUUUCCGGGAUGGAUAAUGGUAGAGAGAAGGUAGCAGUUUCGGCUGUGUUAUAGCUCUCUGCUGGAUACAUCUUGGGGGACUGAGGAACGCAGUGUGCCUUUGGCGGGGGUUUCGACCUCUUCACAC